rnacentral:rRNA from 1 species
CCUACGGGAGGCAGCAGUGGGGGAUAUUGCACAAUGGGGGGAACCCUGAUGCAGCGACGCCGCGUGAGCGAAGAAGUACCUCGGUAUGUAAAGCUCUAUCAGCAGGGAAGAAAAUGACGGUACCUGACUAAGAAGCCCCGGCUAAAUACGUGCCAGCAGCCGCGGUAAUACGUAUGGGGCAGGCGUUAUCCGGAUUUACUGGGUGAAAAGGGUGCGUAGGCGGAUUUUUAAGUCAGCGGUAAAAUGUCCGGGCUCAAGCCGUGCCGGCCGUGAAAACUGGGGAUCUUGAGUGGGUGUGAAGUAUGCGGAAUGGGUGGAGUAGCGGUGAAAUGCAUAGAUAUCACGCAGAACUCCGAUUGCGAAGGCAGCAUACCGGCGCCCGACUGACGCUGAGGCACGAAAGCGUGGGGAUCGAACAGGAUUAGAUACCCCUGUAGUC